rnacentral:rRNA from 1 species
UACGUAGGGGGCGAGCGUUGUCCGAAGUUACUGGGCGUAAAGCGCGCGUAGGCGGUCUUUUAAGUCUGGUGUGAAAGGUCCAGGGCUCAACCUGGGAAUUGCAUUCGAGACUGAAUAGCUAGGGUACGGUAGAGGGAAGUGGAAUUUCCGGUGUAGCGGUGAAAUGCGUAGAUAUCGGAAGGAACAUCAGUGGCGAAAGCGACUUCCUGGACCAGUACCGACGUUCAGGCACGAAAGCGUGGGGAGCAAACAGG